UGCUCAUCCAGAGAGGUGGAGGGACCGGCCCUGAGAAACCUCGGCAACCGCGAAGCGCAGUCGCUGGUGCCAAAUCCGGCAGAAGUUCUCCGGCAGGGUGGCCGGGAGACAUUUCUGGAAGAUGAGGA
rnacentral:ncRNA from 12 species